CAAAGGGAUUUAACUCCUAAAUGGCAGAUGAUUGAGCAGUGAGGCUGCAGGGGGAUGUUCUAUACACCAAAACUCCUUCAUUAAGCUAAAGUUGUUCAGGUGACUAUAGUGUCCCUUUACGUAUUCAUCACAUUUUGUUGUUAGAGGGGAAGUAUGUCUCUAUGGUUAUUGCAUAUGCAUAUGGUAUGCAAACUUGAUUAUUCAUAUAGGUAAAUCAUUUGUGAAUUCUCAGGGGAACUGCACAUUCCAAAUGCUGUAUCAAAACAAUAGCAAGAACAUGUUUUGUGCAUAGAAAAGAAUAACAACAAAAUAAAGUGGAGCAUCUGGGGAAUUGGCACAAAAAACAUUAUUCUAUAAAUAUAUACACUGAGCUUUCUGAGACCAGCAUCUAAUACUAUACUCCUAUCACAUUAGGCCAAGGGUGCCCACAUUGUAAGUAAUCAAACCAUUUUUGACUUCUUACCUGGAGUCUGCUGGGAGCCACUCCCUAUCUCCAGUACUAAAGGUCGAUAUCAGGAAGCUCCUAAGCACAAACCUCCACUUGAUUACUUCAUUGUCUACAAGUAUCAGAUGGUCACUGGUAGCCAAUGAGCUAACGGAAGGUUCUGCAGCAACUUCAGCAGUAGUGAUACCCAAUACUUUGGAAUUAAUUGAUUGACAAACGGGCAUCUAUGUGUUUUCUGCUUAUAUUGUAUAUCCCAUAUGCUCUCUAAAUCUGCUGCUGAAUGUUUGCACUUCUUCCCCAUCCACUUCUUUGCCCUUUACUUUUCCUACCUCUUUUUAUUCAUUUUCUCUUUUGUGGUAAAUAAAGGGUUAAAAACCCUUUACUUACCUGAUCCCAGCAUCGAUGUGCCUCAGCGCUGGGUUGUGGCUUUGCCUCCUCCGACGUUACUGACCAGGGGAAGCUAAUGUGCAUGUUCGGUAAGCUCUGCGCAUGCAUUAAGCCCUCCCCAUAGAAGAGCAUUGGGGAAAUAACUGACGCUGGAUGUCCUCAUGCAGACCAAAAGUCUGUUAACAUACAGGAAGUGCCUCCAGUGGCUGUCUGGGAGCCAGCCACUGGAGGCAGACAUAGUGCUGUAAUGUAAACAUUGCAAUCUCUCUGGAUGUUUUACAUUGUAUCUCUAAGUGCAAUAGGCACAGUGCACCUAGAUCACUUUAAUGAGCUGAAGUGGUCUGGGUGUCUAUAGUGUCCUUUUAAUAUUAAAAUAAACCUUCACUAUCAAUAAAAAUUAAACCUGGGGGAAACCUUUAUACCCAUUCCUUAAGUAGAACUAAUGGGAGAGCAAUCUCCUGGUCCUCAAUAACAUGCACACUCUGGAUGCUAGGGUUCCCAAAUCCUCCCAGGUACCCAUUUGCAUCCUAAAGUUAAGUGCACCUACCCAUUGUCUUCCUCUAAUAUGGACCAAGGGGCACAUAUUUCUCUAGAAGAGACAAUUCAAGAUAGGCCGUUGUUCUAAUUUUGUCACAAUUUCAAUGUUUGUGACAAUGCCACUUGCUGUGGAUGUAUGGGUUUAAUGCAGUGUGUUACAGGGUUAGUAUAACAUGUUUAUUUAUAAUUCUAGGUUCUUGAAAUACACUGAGUUUUUGUUUUACAGAACACAUUAGGAUUUAAAGUAGUGUUUCGGGUUAGUUUUAGUCAAUAUGUAGAUGAGGGGCCAUAAAAUGUACUGUUGGGCAGAUGCCCCUGGUCUGUUUGACACCUAACUAUGCCUCUACCUUGCUGCACAGAAUCAGGUGGAUACAUACCUAUUUUCCUGUUGGGCUGACUCUAAGAUGCAAUGCUAGCCACUUUCACUGUGAGUCUUAACCCUUUCAGUAAAGGUGUCCUAUCUUGCCCUUACUAACAGUAUAUGGAGUAGCACACACGCCUGCUUUAUACAGUUUAACCCUUUGAGCAAUGAGUAUUGCAUUCAUUUGUCAAACUGACUCUUUUUUCACAAAUGAUAUUGUACCUAUUCUGGUGCAAGUUUUAUGGGAUCUUUUAAAUGUUUCAUUUUUAUUGUUGAAUUCACAUCUUAUUGCGGGGGAAACUACUGCCAUCUUGAGGCUUACUUGGCAGGUAUUGUUUAUCCCGUUACGUGUGGAAAUAGGAUGCCUGGAAAUAAUUGGCAAACAUUGAUAGUUAACUCGAAAAUGAUUACCAUUUGAAAAAAAAAAAAGAAAAGAAACUUUAUUAGCAACAACAUCACAUACAUUGAUUUACAUGACUUAAGUAUUCAAAAAAGAGUUUACGCAUUAAAGCCAUAAGAUUUUUCAGUGUGAUCUCUGGAAUUCUGCAGCUGCCCAAAAAAUAAUCUAAGACUGUUAACACCGACAUAUCUAAAGCUGAAUAAGAUUUAUAGGUUUAUAAAUGGAUUGGCAAUGAUUUCUAACAUGUAAAGGACCAUUUCAUGAACCUGAAGUAGACUUAAAACCCAGCCAGCCAUUGAUCCAAAUAAGAAUCUGAAAAACUUAAUAAUUGCUGUUCACCAAUGGUCCCUACCUACCCGUAAGCAAUUUUACCAAGCCCAAGGGUCUGACAUUGCUAGUAGAGAUUUACUCUCACAGUUGAAAUUGCAGGAAAACAUUAUUUAUGUGUAUUGUGAGUGGGUUGAAUACUUGAAAACAAACAAACGUUCGCUUUGCUUUUCGUUUUUUUAACCUUUGUUUCACCAAAAAAAAAAAAAAAACAUUAAACCUCAAAGUGUUGGGCAUAUUGUGUGAAACAAAACCAAAGAUCCCCACAGGGUUAUUCACCAUGGUGUUAAUCCAUAGUAAAUUCAAAUGUAAAGCCAGAAUAGCUAAACUGGGUUCCAGUUUGGCUAUUUUACCCUAAAACUUGAAAUUCACUUUUAACUCUUCCUUCCGUAAAUAAUCCUGUAUAUAAUAAUGUAUUUUAAUUUCAAGCUAUGACAAAAUGUAUUAGAGAGGGGAAUGAUUUUGCAAGGUAGUAGUCAGACUAGCAAAGUACAUAAAAACCCACAAACCAAUACCAAACAGACUAAUAAGGCAUUGGAAUUAGCCUCCUUACUAGCUGUUUAGAUGUAUUCUUUGAGAACACUCAGGGUAGUUGUAAUUUACAAUUCACAAAACCAAGUGAUAUGAUCUGUCCUAUGUUAUGUACGUUCAUUGACUUAGUUCCAUCGUCACGUUUCCCACCAAUUACAUAAUUUGUUCCCUUUAGAUAGAUCAAGAGAUGCUUAAUCCAGGAAAUAACUCUAUGUGCGUCCUCUAGUAAACAGCAACAGGCUACUGCUCUGAUUUCACAAUGCAACCGGCUGAGAACGAAGUGGAACCUUAUCUCAGCGGAAUGUUUCCUUAUGACCUACAAGGUGACUUUGAUAUAAAAAUACAUGCAAACCUUUCGGCUUCCUCAUCACCAUUUAAAAAAAUAAUAAUAAUAUUCUUG